UUUUAUUAUAUUCUAAGGGCAUUUUGUUUGCCAAUCCUUUCUUCUACACUCUUCUUUGCUUACCAUUAACAAAGCCGAUGCUCUACUCAAGAAAGUACAAACUUUGAGUUCAUUCUUAACUGGGUAUUUUAAUUGCAGUGGAUUGAAGAACCGAAUCCUAUAUGGGUAUAUCUAUACACAGAAAAUCUAUAGUUUUUAUGGGAUUAUAAUAACGAUUAGAGAGGCAUGGCUCAAGCUCUCUCUGUCAAACAACAAUAGGGAAUAAAAGCAACGGAUUUGUGUUAAGCUCCGGGUCUCUACCAUUGUUGUCGAUAGAUUGACGUUGGGCAUCCAUCUCUGAGCUUUCUAUUAUUAUUUUUAUCUCUAAUGUAACUGUUCUCUCUUCUCAACCAAUUUGAUACCAAAAAUCAAAUUCUUCUUUUUCCUCCUCAAGGUUCCAGUCUCAGGAGCUUAUCAACAAAAAAAAAUAAAAAUCUUGCACCCGCCACUUUCAUAAACCCUGAAGGUACAUUGGUUGAAGCUUUUUUAUUAUAAGCUUCCCUGUACAAGUAAAUUUGCUAUUUUUGACAUUAUGUACGCACGGCUGAAUGCUGAUGAAUCAAAUGGUGGUGACUCGUGAGUGAUCCUGACAUUUUUUGGCUCAUCUUCAUGAGGACCUUCAUGAUACUAAUAAUCUGCACUGGUAUUUCAGUCCAAUGGUGCAUAACUUGCCACACAGCUAAUGUCCAUUUGCAUUUCUCGAAUAGGUGAACAUUAGUCUCCAUUACUUUCUCAUCACAUAAACAACAUUCAGUGUCAUCAACCUGAAUAUUCAAUCUCAGCUUUCUCUCCUGUGUAUUUCAAAACAUCUCCCUGUUAUGUGUUUCCGGGAUAGCAAAGGUUGGCUACUAAGCUAGGUAUUGUAUCUCCAACACAAUUGAAAUGAUAGAUCAAGUUAGCUCUGCAAUAUUUACUAAAACUGUGAUUGACGGUUUAGUUCCAUUAACAGAGAUGUUCAAUUGCGUUAGUAAAACUUGAAAGGGAAUGACAAAGGAGCAUGCAUCGUACAUUAUGCAAUUAGGCAAGUUUGAUGUUGUCCCUCAACACAUUCAAAUCAGCUUGCCAAAAAGGAAGAAGCAGCAGUUGUUUAGUCAGUCAGCUUUCAAAUUUGGAUCCACGAACUUAAAAAUAGGUGAACCAAGAAAAGAAAAAAUGUUGGAUGCAUAAAAGAAUAACAAGUUUUAUUCCCAAUGAGUCUACAAUCAGGCAGACGAAAACUCAAAUCGAAAUGAUCAGGAAGUAGAGAUAUGCAAUGUAGAAAUAUUUGAAGAAUGAUAUAACUGGCGUCUUAAAAUAUGGAUUGGAUGUCAACCCCUGCCACAGGGAAUACUUUCUUGAAUCUAUUUCCUUAGGGCAUUGAGUGAAGGUUGUUCCUUUCAAAUUCACAUAUAACUUGUUGUUAUUUCGGAACUUUUAUUCCUUUCCUUGAGAUAUUAAAGCUGGAGUAUAUAGUUCGUGCUGAGUGAAGGAAAUUUUGCAUCUUAUCAAGACAAUUGCAAACACUCGAGGCAUCAAUGGAUUUAUGAAACGGAAUUUUAUUACUCUACAUGCAGCUCCAUUUAAGGAUACCAACUUCUAUUCUUUUGAAAAAUACAGAGAGCAUCUACUCAAAUUUACUACUAAUGAUUCAAGGCAUCACUAGAUUUUGUAAAAUGAAUUUUGUCAUAUUCUAUGAUUAGCUCUAUGUAAGUCUAUCCACUUCUAUUUUCUUAUGAUAAAUAUUGAAAAGUAUUUAGAAGAUAGUUGUCUGCAAUGUAAAGUUAUUUGUGGAAAGGGAGAAAUUAGUUGUAUUAUUGCACUUUGAAGUUCAUUUGUAUAACUUAUGCAAUGAUCUAUUAGCUUUUACAAUA